GUGCCAGCCGCCGCGGUAAUACGGAGGGUGCAAACGUUGCUCGGAAUCAUUGGGCGUAAAGCGCACGUAGGCGGUUCGUUAAGUCGGAUGUGAAAGCCCCAGGCUCAACUUGGGAAGUGCAUUCGAAACUGGCGAGCUUGAAUAUGGAAGAGGGUCGCGGAAUUCCCGGUGUAGAGGUGAAAUUCGUAGAUAUCGGGAGGAACACCAGUGGCGAAGGCGGCGACCUGGGCCAAUAUUGACGCUGAGGUGCGAAAGCGUGGGGAGCAAACAGGAUUAGAAACCCCCGUAGUCC
rnacentral:rRNA from 1 species